AACUUUUCUCUGCAACUUCCGCAUGACUCCUAAACCUUCUCAAUUUUAACUUGCACACAUACACACCCACAGAUCGUGACACACGCACACAUACAACCCUCCUCCGGCACGCCGCGCCUCCGGCGACCACUUCCCUCAGCCGAACGUGGCGUCCCCUCCUUGUCUCCCUCUCUGUCUCAAUAUCUGUCUCCCUCUACACACACCUAGACAUACAUUUCAUCUUUUUGUACAUCGGUUGUACGGUCGAUUCUGCCGCCACCGUUGCCGUCGCUGGAAUCCAGCAUCUCUAUGAUAUUCAUGUCUAUCCUCUAUAGGGAGUCUAACCGCAAUGUUGACUUGACUGACAAAUUCUGUAAUGACAAGAUGAAGCUGGUGUGGGAACUCUAAUCAGCCCGGAUUUCUUCGUGUUGAGAAAAUAUCACCGUGUUUUGGCUCAUAGACUAAUCAUAGAAGUAUCCUCGAGUUCCAUCAAUAUUCUGGCACAACACAGAAACCAGGUAUAGUCAAUGUUAUGGUCUUAGCCAGUUCUAUUUGGAAUGCAUACAUCUUCCUUACUCCCGUCUUCUCAAGUGUUUACUGAUGCAAGUACAAGUUGCUAUGUGAAUAAAGUUGAGGUGGGUGAUACUAUUGAUGAAGUUGAUGCGAUGAUGCCCAAUACUCUAUCAGCAUACGAAAGGGGCUUGAGUUGCUUUUACAAUCAUAAUGGUCAAAUAUUGGAGAAUAUAUGAGAAUGAAGGCUUAUUAGAGUAGUAGAGGUUAAGCAACUUUGGAAUGUAGUUUUGUAGUAAGAUAUUUUUAACAUAUCGUAUUUGGAUAUUGUAUGACUUGGAUUUUAUCAAAAGUAUUAUGUAAAUUGUUGAUGACAGUUUUUAUACUUCAAGGUAUUUUUAUUGUUUAUUGUAA